rnacentral:rRNA from 1 species
AGGGGGAUAACAUCCGGAAACGGGUGCUAAUACCGCAUAGUUUUCUUGAUCGCAUGAUUGAGAAAGGAAAGACGGCCUUUGUGCUGUCGCUUAUGGAUGGACCCGCGGCGUAUUAGUUAGUUGGUGAGGUAACGGCUCACCAAGACGAUGAUACGUAGCCGACCUGAGAGGGUGAUCGGCCACAUUGGGACUGAGACACGGCCCAAACUCCUACGGGAGGCAGCAGUAGGGAAUCUUCCGCAAUGGACGAAAGUCUGACGGAGCAACGCCGCGUGAGUGAAGAAAAGGUUUUCGGAUCGUAAAACUCUGUUGUCAGAGAAGAACAAGUUGGAGAGUAACUGCUCCAGCCUUGACGGUAUCUGACCAGAAAGCCACGGCUAACUACGUGCCAGCCGCAGC